AAGCAGCGUUUUCGGGAAUGGGAUGAGAUGCAUUGCUUAGAUCAGAACACGAAGGCCGACUUCCGUGAAGCCGAGAAAUCUGUGACUUCGCCUCUGAUUCAAAUUGAUGGGACUGGUCUGGAGACUUCAGAGGUUUCGGGAAACCACCCAACACCUCCCCCAUCAAGUUCUUGGGCCACAGUGAAUUUCUUCUGUGAGUUUAAACUAUUUUUUCUUCUAAGAGCCCUCUAACAGGGCAGUACUGACAACCCCUCAAGAGAUAAGAAGAACUUACCCAGCCACACCCGAGAGUAAUCAACACGUCAUGGGAGACUCUUGGGACUAAGAUGCGGCGAAGCAAGCUGGAGACAAGAGAGGUUGUAUUCACGACUGGUGCUUUGAGAACUCUUCCUCACAUCCUAUCAGUAUCUUGCAUCCCAGAGGGACGCCUUUCCUCAUCCUCCAAAGCAGGUCCAAGUUCCCCAACGCCUUCAGAAGACAAAGAUUUAAAUCUGGACAAGUAUGACUGUCCACCAUAGCUUCAGUCAUGAAAGCCCGCUGCCCCGGAGGCCUGGCCUUCCUGGAGGUCCAGAAGUUACAGAAGCGGAGACAGUGGUGAAGACAUAGGAGGCGGCAGAGAAAACAGUGAAGAGGUGAG